rnacentral:lncRNA from 1 species
CAUAGAUGCCAAAAGUAUCAUUCUCCCAGUAAAAGUGCCGGACGUUAGCGACAUCAAUCAAAGGCAUCAAUGGGUUGGACUUGCCUACCAUAUUUGAAGGCAUUUAAAAAUUUUGCAGAAAGCAAAUUGGUUGGAUAGUCUAGUAGCUUAUCUUCGUAUUUAGAUGUGUGACCAUUGUCAUCUAUGUUUUGUAGGUGAAUGUUUUAUAUGACAUGGUCUCAUCUCAUGGUGCAUAACAUGAAGCUUUUCUUGACAGACAUGAAAGUAGAUUUUGCUAAUGAAGAAUCUGAAGAACAAAGAACUUCCGGCUUCAGAAUUAUAUAUUGCAGCUGCUUCUAUAUAGAAAUGAGAACCAAAUUAAGAGGAGCUGAAUAUAUUUUUGUUGAGGGUGAUUAUUGCUUUGCUGGGAUUUUUUCUCUGAAUUCGCAACUUUUCUGAAAUUAAAAAAAUGCAGUUGAUAAUUGAAAACGAGGCUUCACUUAUUGAUGAGUGAGGAGUGAUUACGAC